AGAGUUUGAUCAUGGCUCAGAUUGAACGCUGGCGGCAGGCUUAACACAUGCAAGUCGAGCGGUAACAGGAGAAGCUUGCUUCUCGCUGACGAGCGGCGGACGGGUGAGUAACGCGUAGGAAUCUGCCUAGCAGUGGGGGAUAGCCCGGAGAAAUCCGGAUUAAUACCGCAUACGCCCUUCGGGGGAAAGAAGGCCACUAUUUAUAAGCUUUCACUGUUAGAUGAGCCUGCGUGAGAUUAGCUAGUUGGUAGGGUAAAGGCCUACCAAGGCGACGAUCUCUAGCUGGUCUGAGAGGAUGAUCAGCCACACUGGAACUGAGACACGGUCCAGACUCCUACGGGAGGCAGCAGUGAGGAAUUUUGCGCAAUGGGGGAAACCCUGACGCAGCAACGCCGCGUGAGCGAAGAAGGCCCUCGGGUCGUAAAGCUCUGUCAAGUGGGAAAAAAAUCUUUUGAUCAAUAGUCAAAAGACUUGAUGGUACCACUGGAGGAAGCACCGGCUAACUCCGUGCCAGCAGCCGCGGUAAUACGGAGGGUGCAAGCGUUGUUCGGAUUUACUGGGCGUAAAGAGCGUGUAGGCGGUUUAGCAAGUCAGAUGUGAAAGC
rnacentral:rRNA from 1 species